UAAGGAAUAUUGGUCAAUGGACGGAAGUCUGAACCAGCCAUGCCGCGUGGAGGAUGAAGGCCCUCUGGGUUGUAAACUUCUUUUAUUUGGGACGAAACACUUCUUUUCUAGGGAGCUUGACGGUACCAGAUGAAUAAGCACCGGCUAACUCCGUGCCAGCAGCCGCGGUAAUACGGAGGGUGCAAGCGUUAUCCGGAUUCACUGGGUUUAAAGGGUGCGUAGGCGGACAUGUAAGUCCGUGGUGAAAUCUCCGAGCUUAACUCGGAAACUGCCAUGGAUACUAUAUGUCUUGAAUGUUGUGGAGGUUAGCGGAAUAUGUCAUGUAGCGGUGAAAUGCAUAGAUAUGACAUAGAACACCAAUUGCGAAGGCAGCUGGCUACACAAAUAUUGACGCUGAGGCACGAAAGCGUGGGGAUCAAACAGGAUUAGAUACCCCCGUAGUCC
rnacentral:rRNA from 1 species